rnacentral:rRNA from 1 species
GAUCAUGGCCAGGAUGAACGCUGGCGGCGUGCUUAACACAUGCAAGUCGAACGAAGCACUUAAGAUUGAUUCUUCAGAUGACGUCUUUUGUGACUUAGUGGCGGACGGGUGAGUAACGCGUGGGUAAUCUGCCUCACACAGGGGGAUAACAGUUAGAAAUGACUGCUAAUACCGCAUAACCCGAUAGGAUCGCAUGAUCCAGACGGAAAAGAUUUAUCGGUGUGAGAUGGACCCG